CUGGAGCUGUCCUGGAGUCCUGGUGAGCCUCCUGGGGAACAUGUCAUUGCCUUUGUUUUGUUCCUUUUGAAUCCCCCAGGCCUAGCCCAGACGCCAGCUAAAUGUUUGCUGCACGUUUGCAAAAAAUGCCUGUAAAAAGGUCCCUGUGUUACUCAAUGGGUCCAACAAAGAGUCUGUCGCCUACAAUGGAUCCAGUGUUUUUGCAAGUGUGGAAGUCCCUAAUUUGUCUUUAGCUGUUACCGCACUACAUGCCUGCGUGAUCCAUGACAGCGAAACCAGGGACUCAUGCUCAGGCUCCAUACAACGACUGAAAUCAGAUUUAAGACGAGACAUUACAUUUACUUGCGAGCAUACGGACAGGAAGUCAUUUCCUGCAUGUCUGAAUCGUGGGGUUUCACAAUGCAAAUCUGUAUUAUGGGGCAGUGGUGUGAUCGGAUUAAUCGUUGCACUCUUGCUGUCCAUCAACCUGCCUGACUCGGGAGCCACACUGGUGGGGAGCUGAGGAUUUGAGGGGAGCCCCUGUCAUUUCAACACCGGACAAGACCUUUCUCUCCAGUCUUAACAUAGCUUUUGUUUUGAUGUCGUAUUAUUC